AUGGAGACUCACCGGGUUUACGGCGAGCCCAAGUGGGAAAAUAAACACUUAUCAUGGAGCUGCUUACGUGGUUUGCAUCAACAGAACCAAAUCCCAUGGGUUGUUGUGGGAGAUUUCAACGAGAUUGUAUACUCGCACGAGAAGGAGGGGGGUGCACCGAGACCGAUUAGUAUGAUGCAAAACUUCAGGGAUGCACUGGUUGAUUAUGAACUUGAGGACAUGGGUUUUGUCGGCGAGCAGUUCACGUGGAGAAGACGCAGAUUGUGGGAAUGUUUGGACAGAGCAGUAUGCAAUGGAGCUUUUCUUGGUUUGUUCCCUGCUGCUGUAGUCACAAACGCGGCCCAUACAAAAUCAGAUCACCAGCCGGUGGGGCUUGACUUGGAAGGUUAUAGCAGGUAUGGACCAGCAAGCUCGAUCGAGACCUAA
rnacentral:rRNA from 1 species